AUAGACUAUGGCUUAACAUAUAUUGAAUGUGAUAAUUAUUAACUCACAUCAUUAACAAUAUUAUUGCUUAAUACCACGAAUUAUGUUUAAUAUAAGUUCUAGUCCAGAUUAAAUUUUUAAUUGGUGAUGAAAUGAGACCUCCAUAGAAAACUGUAUGAGAAAGGAUUGUUAGAAUACAUUUUUUUAUUCUAGGAAGCAUGUGUGAUUGUAGAAGACAGCACAAAAGCCCAAAGUGUAUAAGGAUAAUGCUAAUAGACAGAAAAAUGACGUCACGCUACAUAGGGUAUGAUUCCAAUUAGUAUUUUCGUAAUAAUUAAUCAUUUGUCAACCUCUUUAGGUAACUGAUACAUAUACUUGACAAUCAGUAUAGAAACGUCUAACUGACUUUCAUUUUAUUGUCACACAAAUAAAUAAUAGAUUAUUAAUUUAUGAAAUAAUACAUAUUUUUGGUUUUUAACACCGUAACAAGCUUUUAUUCACGUAACAAGUAUUUAUUAUGAUACCCAUCAAUAAAAACAUCAUCAGAGGGGUAUAAAAGAAUGUCUCGAAGAGGAUCAUUCAGAAGCAGAGUCUUGUUUUCUUGAAUAUAGCUCUCAAAAUCCAAUGCUGUGCAUUUCUUGGCUAUGAUAUUCUGAAAUAAUUUAUAAAACUAACUCUAUUAUUAAAAUUCAAUUAAUAUCACUCAGAUUUACAAAGAUUUUUGAUAUACUUAUAGAAAAAUUGUAUACCUACUUUGCUUGUUAUGAUACACAACACGGAAAUGCUUAGCUAAAAGCACUAAACAGGUUUCUCUAAUCCUAUUUACAAUUUUCUAUGUUUAAAUAUUCUGUUAAAUACUUUUCAUAUUUUAAUAUGUAUUUAAAAUAAGAUAUCAAUUAAUUAUUCUUAUUGGAAACACAAAUAUAUGUGUAUAUAUGU